GCUCCAAGAAGCUUAAGGCCAAAAUCUACAUGUGGCUGCACAAAGAAACACAGAAUAACUAGACAGCAAACAGGAUUGGGGUUAUCUUAUUAUAUAAAAAAAACCUUGUAGAUGCAGCUCCUGUAAACAUAAAGAAUAAAUAGACAGCAGACA